UAGGGAAUCUUCGGCAAUGGACGAAAGUCUGACCGAGCAACGCCGCGUGAGUGAAGAAGGUUUUCGGAUCGUAAAACUCUGUUGUUAGAGAAGAACAAGGACGUUAGUAACUGAACGUCCCCUGACGGUAUCUAACCAGAAAGCCACGGCUAACUACGUGCCAGCAGCCGCGGUAAUACGUAGGUGGCAAGCGUUGUCCGGAUUUAUUGGGCGUAAAGCGAGCGCAGGCGGUUUCUUAAGUCUGAUGUGAAAGCCCCCGGCUCAACCGGGGAGGGUCAUUGGAAACUGGGAGACUUGAGUGCAGAAGAGGAGGGUGGAAUUCCAGGUGUAGCGGUGAAAUGCGUAGAUAUAUGGAGGAACACCAGUGGCGAAGGCGGCUCUCUGGUCUGUAACUGACGCUGAGGCUCGAAAGCGUGGGGAGCAAACAGG
rnacentral:rRNA from 1 species